rnacentral:rRNA from 1 species
AGAGUUUGAUCAUGGCUCAGAGCGAACGCUGGCGGCAGGCUUAACACAUGCAAGUCGAGCGGGCGUAGCAAUACGUCAGCGGCAGACGGGUGAGUAACGCGUGGGAACGUACCUUUUGGUUCGGAACAACACAGGGAAACUUGUGCUAAUACCGGAUAAGCCCUUACGGGGAAAGAUUUAUCGCCGAAAGAUCGGCCCGCGUCUGAUUAGCUAGUUGGUGAGGUAACGGCUCACCAAGGCGACGAUCAGUAGCUGGUCUGAGAGGAUGAUCAGCCACAUUGGGACUGAGACACGGCCCAAACUCCUACGGGAGGCAGCAGUGGGGGAAUAUUGGACAAUGGGCGCAAGCCUGAUCCAGCCAUGCCGCGUGAGUGAUGAAGGCCCUAGGGUUGUAAAGCUCUUUUGUGCGGGAAGAUAAUGACGGUACCGCAAGAAUAAGCCCCGGCUAACUUCGUGCCAGCAGCCGCGGUAAUACGAAGGGGGCUAGCGUUGCUCGGAAUCACUGGGCGUAAAGGGUGCGUAGGCGGGUCUUUAAGUCAGGGGUGAAAUCCUGGAGCUCAACUCCAGAACUGCCUUUGAUACUGAGGAUCUUGAGUUCGGGAGAGGUGAGUGGAACUGCGAGUGUAGAGGUGAAAUUCGUAGAUAUUCGCAAGAACACCAGUGGCGAAGGCGGCUCACUGGCCCGAUACUGACGCUGAGGCACGAAAGCGUGGGGAGCAAACAGGAUUAGAUACCCUAGUAGUCC